rnacentral:tRNA from 1 species
GCCUGGGUGGCUCAGUCAGCUGAGCGGCCGACUUUGGCUCAGGUCAUGAUCUCGCGGUCUGUGGGUUCAAGCCCCACGUCAGGCU